UUUAGCCACGACUUCCAAGUUUCAUGAUAAUUUGUACAACACCAAGAAUAUGCAAUGAAAUCCAUUCACUCCAACAAUCUUUGGAUCAAAAGUACACACUUUGUGAUCAAAUUGGAUUUUUUAAAAAUACUUUAGAUCCAGCAAUAGAAACCAUCGCCCACUAUCACACGUGACUACAACUUCCUCUUCAUGAUUUCCAUAACUCAAGCAUUCACUAUUCCUCGUUGGACAAGACAUCUCAUUUCUAUGAGGAUAAUCAAAUCUACAUUUCUCACAAAGUUUACUCCCACUUCUCUCCAAUGAUCAUCCUCGGCUGAUACUCCUUCUUCGGAAUCCCUUCCUGUCAACGGAUUUCCUAUUCCUAUUUUCCAAUUUCUCCUUUUACUCCACUCAAGACUAUGUCGUUCAAACUGUUCUGAUUUGUCUUCGCUGUCUCAAUCGUUCUACAUAGGGUAUGUAUACAUAUGUCUUCCAGGACUUCUUCGAGGGAUUUGCUGGAAUAUCUACAAUAUGUCGGAUUAUUGUAAUGAAUUCUGGUGAACAAGUCCAAAAUAUAGAAAUUUGUUCGUCCCUUGUUUUUUUAAACAUGUGGGUCAAACAAACGUAAUUAUUCCAAGUCUCUAACCACUUAAGGUAUUCAGAAUAUCUGAUUCCAUCUCCAAUUUCAUUUGGUGGUUGUACGUGAAUUUUAGGAGAAUCGUGUCUGGUGGAAUCGCUCGUUUUUCCAGUUCGUAUUCCGGAGAAGAUUCCUCAAGAAGCAUACACAGUUCCUCUGUUUUCUCCUUAAAUUUUUCGGAAGCUUUCCUUAUUAUUUCCAACGUCCUCUUAAUUUUAAAAGUAUUCGGGACAUUAUCCUCCAUGAGCUUUUCGAUGUUGUUUAUUUGUGCGUCAAAAGAUCUUAUUUGCACACCUCUAGAUCUUCGAAGAUCGAUUAAUGGAGAUGUUGGAUCUAUUUUGAUCAUCUUUGGAAUAAGGAGACGAGUCCAUCUUUACCUAGGAGUUCUUCCGUACCUCUGGUGUCACGUUGGCUAGGAUUUCAUCUACUAUUAAAAUCUUCGUUAUCGAUUAGGACUGCCAACUGCGCCAUGUGUUAUCCGAUCCUAUCUCGGAUAUAUUCUUAGAAUAAUCACGGAAUAAAUACGAGAUACUUCUACCAAGGGCUAUAUUCCUCUUUUUAUCAUCAUCUAAAACAAUGCUGAAUAGCACAAAUAGAACCACUUCCUUUGUCAAAUACAAAUAAUGAGUAUGAUGCUUCUUCAUGACGACCUCUGCUAAUUUGUUGUCAUU
rnacentral:lncRNA from 1 species